UAGGGAAUCUUCGGCAAUGGACGAAAGUCUGACCGAGCAACGCCGCGUGAGUGAAGAAGGUUUUCGGAUCGUAAAACUCUGUUGUUAGAGAAGAACAAGGACGUUAGUAACUGAACGUCCCCUGACGGUAUCUAACCAGAAAGCCACGGCUAACUACGUGCCAGCAGCCGCGGUAAUACGUAGGUGGCAAGCGUUGUCCGGAUUUAUUGGGCGUAAAGCGAGCGCAGGCGGUUUCUUAAGUCUGAUGUGAAAGCCCCCGGCUCAACCGGGGAGGGUCAUUGGAAACUGGGAGACUUGAGUGCAGAAGAGGAGAGUGGAAUUCCAUGUGUAGCGGUGAAAUGCGUAGAUAUAUGGAGGAACACCAGUGGCGAAGGCGGCUCUCUGGUCUGUAACUGACGCUGAGGCUCGAAGGCGUGGUGAGCAAACAGG
rnacentral:rRNA from 1 species